rnacentral:rRNA from 1 species
UAAUACGUAGGGUGCGAGCGUUAAUCGGAAUUACUGGGCGUAAAGCGUGCGCAGGCGGUUUUGUAAGACAGAGGUGAAAUCCCCGGGCUUAACCUGGGAACUGCCUUUGUGACUGCAAGGCUUGAGUGCGGCAGAGGGGGAUGGAAUUCCGCGUGUAGCAGUGAAAUGCGUAGAUAUGCGGAGGAACACCGAUGGCGAAGGCAAUCCCCUGGGCCUGCACUGACGCUCAUGCACGAAAGCGUGGGGAGCAAACAGGAUU